rnacentral:rRNA from 1 species
GAUGAACGCUGGCGGCGUGCCUAAGACAUGCAAGUAGAGCGAACAGAUGGGGAGCUUGCUCCUCUGACGUUAGCGGCGGACGGGUGAGUAACACGUGGAUAACCUACCUAUAAGACUGGGAUAACUUCGGGAAACCGGAGCUAAUACCGGAUAAUAUAUUGAACCGCAUGGUUCAAUAGUGAAAGACGGUUUUGCUGUCACUUAUAGAUGGAUCCGCGCCGCAUUAGCUAGUUGGUAAGGUAACGGCUUACCAAGGCAACGAUGCGUAGCCGACCUGAGAGGGUGAUCGGCCACACUGGAACUGAGACACGGUCCAGACUCCUACGGGAGGCAGCAGUAGGGAAUCUUCCGCCCUGGUCGAAAGCCUGACGGAGCAACGCCGCGUGAGUGCUGAAGGUCUUCGGAUCGUCAAACUCUUUUAUUCGGGAAGAACAAAUGUGUAAGUCACUCUGCACGUCUUGACGGUACCUAAUCAGAAAGCCACGCCUAACUACGUG